CCCCGCCUCCGCCACCUCCCCGCCACCACCCACCUCCGGAAAGCAGAUUCACUGACAAAGCACCUCGCCCCGCAGGACUCCCCGCCCCGUGUGCACCCACCCGGAAUCCGAGCGUUCAUCGAUAGCGUUUGCUGGAAGCUUCGCGGAUCUACUAAGAGAAGAGGAAAAGCCUCAGGAUGGACAUUCGAAAGGUCAGGUCGUCCAGGGCUGGGCUGCAGAGAUCUUCCGCAGAAGACUUACCACCCUUGACACAUGGCCUCGGUGGAUUUUAUCCAAAUAGGGGUUGCUUCAGAGUUUAUUCAUGCAAAAGAAAGGAACCAAAGGAAAAGAAAAGAAAAGAAAGCCAGCCAGCCAGCCAGCCUACCUAGGAUGCCUGCUUCAGGAGUUUUUAAUUUGUGCUGAAGAAAUAUUAACACAGCUGUUUUCCCCAACCAUUCAUUGGGAUUUAAGUGGCAG
rnacentral:lncRNA from 1 species